rnacentral:rRNA from 1 species
GACGAACCGUGCAAACGUUGUUCGGAAUCACUGGGCUUAAAGGGCGCGUAGGCGGGCUCGCCAGUCUGUGGUGAAAGCCUCCAGCUUAACUGGAGAAGUGCCAUGGAUACUGCGAGCCUCGAGGAGGGUAGGGGCAUCUGGAACGCUGGGUGGAGCGGUGAAAUGCGUUGAUAUCCAGCGGAACUCCGGUGGCGAAGGCGAGGUGCUGGACCCUUUCUGACGCUGAGGCGCGAAAGCCAGGGGAGCAAACGGG